GAUGAACGCUGGCGGCGUGCCUAAUACAUGCAAGUCGAGCGAACAGACGAGGAGCUUGCUCCUCUGACGUUAGCGGCGGACGGGUGAGUAACACGUGGAUAACCUACCUAUAAGACUGGGAUAACUUCGGGAAACCGGAGCUAAUACCGGAUAAUAUAUUGAACCGCAUGGUUCAAUAGUGAAAGACGGUUUUGCUGUCACUUAUAGCUGGAUCCGCGCCGCAUUAGCUAGUUGGUAAGGUAACGGCUUACCAAGGCAACGAUGCGUAGCCGACCGGAGAGGGUGAUCGGCCACACUGGAACUGGGACACGGACCAGACUCCUACGGGAGGCAGCAGUAGGGAAUCUUCCGCAAUGGGCGAAAGCUUGACGGAGCAACGCCGCGUGAGUGAUGAAGGUCUUCGGAUCGUAAAACUCUGUUAUUAGGGAAGAACAAAUGUGUAAGUAACUAUGCACGUCUUGACGGUACCUAAUCAGAAAGCCACGGCUAACUACGUG
rnacentral:rRNA from 1 species